rfam:Schistosoma margrebowiei strain Zambia genome assembly, scaffold: SMRZ_scaffold0003642
AUCCAACUGACGAGUUUCAAAUAGGACGAAACACUCAUUCUGGAU